UUGGGGCACUAGGUGUGGGGGGACAUUUCCACGUUUUUCCGCGCCGUAGCUAACGCAUUAAGUGCCCCGCCUGGGGAGUACGGCCGCAAGGCUAAAACUCAAAGGAAUUGACGGGGGCCCGCACAAGCGGCGGAGCAUGCGGAUUAAUUCGAUGCAACGCGAAGAACCUUACCAAGGCUUGACAUGAACCGGAAUGAUGCAGAGAUGUGUCAGCCACUUGUGGCCGGUUUACAGGUGGUGCAUGGUUGUCGUCAGCUCGUGUCGUGAGAUGUUGGGUUAAGUCCCGCAACGAGCGCAACCCUCGUUCCAUGUUGCCAGCGGGUUAUGCCGGGGACUCAUGGGAGACUGCCGGGGUCAACUCGGAGGAAGGUGGGGACGACGUCAAAUCAUCAUGCCCCUUAUGUCUUGGGCUUCACGCAUGCUACAAUGGCCGGUACAAAGGGUUGCGAUACUGUGAGGUGGAGCUAAUCCCAAAAAGCCGGUCUCAGUUCGGAUUGAGGUCUGCAACUCGACCUCAUGAAGUUGGAGUCGCUAGUAAUCGCAGAUCAGCAACGCUGCGGUGAAUACGUUCCCGGGCCUUUACACACCGCCCGACUUUCUACGAAAGUUGGUACCCCCCCCCGGGG
rnacentral:rRNA from 1 species